rnacentral:rRNA from 1 species
ACGGCUCAGUAACACGUGGAUAACCUGCCCUGCGGUGGGAAAUAACCCCGGGAAACUGGGGAUAAUGUCCCAUAGGCUACGGAUGCUGGAAUGCUCUGUAGCUCAAAGAUUUAUCGCCACAGGAUGGGUCUGCGGCCGAUUAGGUAGUUGUUGGGGUAACGGCCCAACAAGCCUUUGAUCGGUACGGGUUGUGGGAGCAAGAGCCCGGAGAUGGAUUCUGAGACACGAAUCCAGGCCCUACGGGGCGCAGCAGGCGCGAAAACUUUACAAUGCGGGAAACCGUGAUAAGGGAACUCCGAGUGUCCGUCAAUGCGGACUGUCCGUAUGUUUAAAAAGCAUGCGAAGAAAGGGCCGGGCAAGACCGGUGCCAGCCGCCGCGGUAAUACCGGCGGCUCGAGUGGUGGCCACUAUUACUGGGCUUAAAGCGUUCGUAGCUGGGUUGUUAAGUCUCUUGGGAAAUCUAUCGGCUUAACCGAUAGGCGUCCAAGGGAUACUGGCAAUCUAGGGACCGGGAGAGGUGAGGGGUACUUCAGGGGUAGGAGUGAAAUCCUGUAAUCCUUGGGGGACCACCUGUGGCGUAGGCGCCUCACCAGAACGGCUCCGACAGUGAGGGACGAAAGCUGGGGGAGCAAACCGGAUUAGAUACCCGGGUAGUCCCAGCCGUAAACGAUGCGCGUUAGGUGUAUCGAUGACCACGAGUCAUCGAGGUGCCGAAGGGAAACCGUGAAACGCGCCGCCUGGGAAGUACGGUCGCAAGGCUGAAACUUAAAGGAAUUGGCGGGGGAGCAC